rnacentral:rRNA from 1 species
UACAGAGACUGCAAGCGUUAUUCGGAUUCACUGGGCGUAAAGGGUGCGCAGGCGGCCAAGUGUGUUAGGCGUGAAAGCCCGGGGCUUAACCCCGGAAUUGCACCUAAAACUACAUGGCUAGAGCAUUGGAGAGGGUAGCGGAAUUCACGGUGUAGCAGUGAAAUGCGUAGAUAUCGUGAGGAACACCAGUGGCGAAGGCGGCGAUCUGGGAAGAUACUGACGCUGAGGUGCGAAAGCGUGGGGAGCAAACAGG